rnacentral:rRNA from 1 species
UACGGAGGGUGCAAGCGUUAUCCGGAUUUACUGGGUUUAAAGGGUGCGCAGGCGGAUAUGUAAGUCAGUGGUGAAAUCUCCGGGCUUAACCCGGAACUGCCGUUGAUACUAUAUAUCUUGAAUGCUGUGGAGGUAAGCAGAAUAUGUCAUGUAGCGGUGAAAUGCUUAGAUAUGACAUAGAAUACCUAUUGCGAAGGCAGCUACUACGCAGAUAUUGACGUCAUGCACGAAAGCGUGGGGAUCAAACAGG